AUACGAAGGGUGCAAGCGUUGUUCGGAAUCAUUGGGCGUAAAGGGCGUGUAGGCGGAAUCGUAAGUCAGGUGUGAAAGCCCGGGGCUCAACCUCGGAAGUGCGCCUGAAACUACAAUUCUAGAGUCUCGGAGAGGAAAGCGGAAUACCACAUGUAGAGGUGAAAUUCGUAGAUAUGUGGUGGAACACCAGUGGCGAAAGCGGCUUUCUGGACGAUGACUGACGCUCAGACGCGAAAGCAUGGGGAGCAAACAGGAUUAGAUACCCUGGUAGUCCAUGCUGUAAACGAUGUGCACUAGAUGUUGCGGGUGUUGACCCCUGCAGUGUCGCAGCUAACGCAGUAAGUGCACCGCCUGGGGAGUACGGUCGCAAGACUAAA
rnacentral:rRNA from 1 species